rnacentral:rRNA from 1 species
GCGUAGGCGGUUUAUUAAGUCAGAUGUGAAAGCCCCGGGCUUAACCUGGGAACUGCAUUUGAAACUGGUCAACUAGAGUAUGGUAGAGGAAAGUGGAAUUUCUGGUGUAGCGGUGAAAUGCGUAGAUAUCAGAAGGAACAUCAAUGGCGAAGGCAGCUUUCUGGACCAAUACUGACGCUGAGGUACGAAAGCGUGGGUAGCAAACAGGAUUAGAUACCCUGGUAGUCCACGCCGUAAACGAUGAUAACUAGCCGUUGGAGGGAUUUACCCUUUAGUGGCGAAGCUAACGCGUUAAGUUAUCCGCCUGGGGAGUACGGCCGCAAGGUUAAAACUCAAAGGAAUUGACGGGGACCCGCACAAGCGGUGGAGCAUGUGGUUUAAUUCGAUGCAACGCGAAGAACCUUACCUGGUCUUGACAUCCUGCGAACUUUCUAGAAAUAGAUUGGUGCCUUCGGGAACGCAGUGACAGGUGCUGCAUGGCUGUCGUCAGCUCGUGUCGUGAGAUGUUGGGUUAAGUCCCGUAACGAGCGCAACCCCUAUCCUUAUUUGCCAGCACGUCAUGGUGGGAACUAUAAGGAGACUGCCGGUGAUAAACCGGAGGAAGGCGGGGACGACGUCAAGUCAUCAUGGCCCUUACGACCAGGGCUACACACGUGCUACAAUGGGAAGGACAAAGAGCCGCGAAGCCGCGAGGUGUAGCUAAUCUCAGAAACCUUUUCGUAGUCCGGAUUGGAGUCUGCAACUCGACUCCAUGAAGUCGGAAUCGCUAGUAAUCGUAGAUCAGAAUGCUACGGUGAAUACGUUCCCGGGUCUUGUACACACCGCCCGUCAUACCAUGGGAGUGGGUUGCACCAGAAGUGGCUAGUCUAACUUAGUGAGGAC